UUACUUGGAGCCUCUCGCUAUGGAGUUGCUAUAGACUUAUGGAGCACUGGUUGCAUACUUGGGGAACUGUACACUGGCAAACCUAUUUUGCCUGCAAGAACUGAGGUUGAGCAAUUGCAUAAGAUUUUCAAGCUCUGUGGUUCACCCCCUGAGGAUUAUUGGAGAAAAUUGAAGCUACCUCAUUCAUCUGCAAUCAAGCCUCAACGACCAUAUAGACGAUGUGUUGCAGAAACAUUUAAAGACAUACCCGCUCCUGCAGUUGGACUUAUGGAGUCCUUGCUUUCCAUGGAUCCAGCUAAUCGUGGAACUGCAGCUUUUGCUCUGAGGGACAAGUUCUUCAGAUCAAAACCAUUGGCUUGUGAUCCUUCAAGUUUGCCCAAAUAUCCACCCAGCAAAGAGAUUGAUGCUAAAAUGCGGCAUGAAGAAUCUAGAAGGCUGGGAGUGCUUGGAGCUGGGGGGAAUGGACCACAAGAAUACGGGGCUACCCUAGCAUCUAAUGCCAAUUCCAAGUUGGCAAUGUUGAUACAGGAAAGGCAACCUUCCAAUGCAAAUGGUGGAGGUGAAAUGUUCAACUCUCACAAGGGGCAAACUGUUUCUGGUUUUCUGGUUGAUCCUUCUAAACAAAAUCAAGUUGCUAAGGAAGGGAGAAGAGAUUUCAUGGAGAAUCAACUUAAGAAAGUUUCACAUUCUGGGCCAUUGGUCCAGGGGACAGGCUGGACAAAGGCU
rnacentral:misc_RNA from 1 species